rnacentral:rRNA from 1 species
UACGGAGGAUCCGAGCGUUAUCCGGAAUUAUUGGGCGUAAAGAGCGCGCAGGUGGUUGAUUAAGUCUGAUGUGAAAGGCUACGGCUCAACCGUAGUAAGCCUUUGAAACUGGGAAACUUGAGUGCAGGAGAGGAGAGUGGAAUUCCUAGUGUAGCGGUGAAAUGCGUAGAUAUUAGGAGGAACACCAGUUGCGAAGGCGGCUCUCUGGACUGUAACUGACACUGAGGCACGAAAGCGUGGGGAGCAAACAGGAUUAGAUACCCGGGUA